ensembl:lncRNA
AGAGAGCGGGUGUCAGCAGUCUUUCCGAACGCCACGCUCUAAUGAAUAAUAAUCCCGCGCGCGUGACAGACGGCGGGGGGGAGUUUCGGGGACGGGGAGAAACUUGAAGGCGAUGCUAAUUCAGUAAUUCCACCAACUCCUCGGACGGAUGUUUUUGUCAUUUCUGGACGGGCUCCAAAGCGGAGGGAGGGGUGACGUUCCCUUUGAUGAAGAGGCUCACCUUUACAGCGGGAAGCGUGUGUCUGCGACGCAGAGCCGCGCUCUCAUUAAUAACGUGAUCGGGUCAACACAACCUCUCUUGUCUGAAUAUAUGAGAGUUCUACAGUAAGUUUGAGAUGUCCCUGUGCGGCCCGAACGCUCCACCUGUGUGUUUACACACGGAUUCGUAAUACAGCAUCACCGAAACACAGGAACACAAGGACGUGACGGAGUCACGCCGAGGUCAAAGCCAGCAGAUUCUCGCUAAAUGACUUUCAGUCUGAAGAGACGUCAGAGAAAUCACGUUUACUUUUACGAGAGAUUCCCCUCAUUCGCCCUGUUUGGAUCAGAACUCAGAGAGAAAAGAUGCAUCAAACACAUGAUGAAAUCCACAGAAACAUCAUGGUGUGAAGGGUAAAAGUGGACUCUGAGAUUCUGCUGUUUUCUUAAAAAGUCCACUGACAUGAAGCAUGAGAUUGUCAUGGUGCUCUCAGUGCAGGUGUGCAACUGCAGAGAGAGAAAGAGAGUGUUAUUCAUCCCCAGGGGGCACUGUUAGCCCUCCACUUCAACACCAACAACCUGCUCCAUGUGGCCCCCAAACACACACACACACACACACACAGCUGCAGAAGGUGCUGGUGACAGACAUUAAUUUGGUGCUUCAUAUCAUGACACAAAAGACAUCUUCCAUCAAGAGUCCACACGCCCUUCUGCUCAUCUGAGAAUCCAGAGCACAGUACUGCAGGAGUUUGAAGACUGCUUGCUACAUCUUCACCAUCAUCCAGCAGCUCCAUCGCCAUGGGAACUGAUGAUGCCAACGAGAGUCGGCCGCUAAUUGGUUCGGUCGGUUCUAACAGCUUCUUGGACCACGGCGACUAGUUUUCAGUGUAUCCACUCAUAACACCACAUGUUUCUGAAAGUCUCUUCUGCUCACCAAGGAUGCACUUAUUUUAAUCAAUUUUUUACCCAUAGAAAACCAAGACUUCAUGCUGGUUAAGUAGCAC